rnacentral:misc_RNA from 1 species
GAUCAAAAUAAUUUGUAAUAGCUUUCUUUUUUCUAUUGCCUUACAAAACUUCUUAAUUAUUGGCUUAUUGCCUGUACAACAUAGUAUGAAGGGCAGGAGUCAAAAUCAGACUAUUAUUGCUCCGCCUUGUGGAGAACAAAAAAGAAUGAAAGAAUUUCAAAACCGUUAUACCUCCCCAGUAACCUGUACAAAACCUAUUCAUCUAUAAAACAAUUAAAGAAAGAUUUACAGAGAUAUAUACACCAUGUACUGGUUAGUCUUCCAGGCGUUGUAUCUCACCCAUCAUGAUACGGUUGCUGGAAACCUUGAAGCCAAGAAGAGCAGGAUCUAUCUGCCUUCCCUUCUUUCCUUUCUUUUUCGCACUUUGUGCUGCUUGUGAACCAUCAGAUGACUCCAGAGCAGCCACAUUAGCUGCAUCAGCCUCAGAAAGAACUGAUUUUUUAAGCACAUCUAUAAAUGAUGUCUCUGACACAGUAGCAUCACUGUAAGAAGAGGUCCUCCUAAAACGCAUUUCUUUCUUCCCAGAUGCCUGCAUUUCACCAACCGAGGCUGCUGCUACAUUCCCCUCAGACAAAUGCCUUUUUUCAUUAGAAGUUGGAAGGUUCAUUGUGCUUCUCUGCUUGACAUUUGAAGCGGAGGCCAAGUCUGGCAAACCAUCCUCGGAAGAUAAUCCCCGUGAUACGGGCAGACGUUUAUGUAAAGUAUUAUCAACCCCUUUGGUUGGUAUAGAAGGUACACUAUCAUUAGAAACCUCAUCUCCAGAUGAUAAAUUAUUGCCCAUCUCAUAACUGUAUAAGCAUCGAUUUACACCAGCACUGCUCAGCGAACUGUGCCUGUCUGGUAUCCUCUCAAAAUCCAUUGCAGCUUCCACUUGCUCAACCAAGUUGUCUUCAAUUUGGGAAACUGACCUGCCCAUUGAAAUCAUGGCUUCAGACCCAUACAUACUUCGCUUUCUUUCCAGUUCUGGCAAGUCUUUGUCCAGAGUUGAUUUACCAAUAAAUCUGGCAUCUGCAUAACUAGUGUGAGGAGGAUCUCUUGCACCUGACAAGAUUGUCUGUUCUUCAAUUAGUGCUCCAGAUUUAGACCUAGAGAGCAAUCUUUCACCAUUUUGACCAGUCAAAGCUGCACUAACCAGAUUAUCAUGCAAUAAAGAAGAUGUAUUCAAAUUUUGUGGCCCUUUCAUAAAUGAAAGGUUCAUAGCAGUUUCUUAGUCUAGGAUGUGAUUGAGAGGAAGAUUUGAAGAUCGCGGCUCCUUGAUUGGCCACAAGGAAUCCUGAGGUGCAGAAGAUGGUAUAAGAUGUUGAUAAUUAUUUUCUGAUGAUUGAAUACCCAUUUUUCGGUGAUCCAUCAAAAGUCUCUUCAAGUUUUCCUCGUCACCUCCAGCUGGUGCCCAAAUAAUAGAGUUUGUCGCAACUUCUGAAAACUUACUCUGCUGCUGAGUUUCAAAAUGCAAUUGUUGCAUCCCUCCUUCAAUCCAACUCUUCUCCAACUGCCCAUUUUUUCCAGUAUGGUACCCAAUUGCUUGUUGGUGAGAACCAUAAAAAUCAUCUGAAAUUUGCUGACACAGGAAAGGAUUACCAGAAGAGGCAGAACCUAGUUGGUCAGCAGGCUGCAUAUAGAGAUGUUCUGUUAAAUCAGGAUCUUGAGGAUGAUCAUUUACAUUAUCCAACUUCAUCCCAGGGGUGACACCAGGAAGAGACAUUGAACUCUCAAAUUCCAUAGAGCUAGGUUCAUAAAGCCCAUGCUGAUAUCGCUCCUGUAAAGCAUGUUUCCACUUAAGAUGGCUUAGAUGCUCCUCUUGUGAGGAAAGCCUCUGCUGCUGGUAGAAAUCUGAAGCAUUAAAUCCUAAAGACACAGACUGGUGAAGAACAUCAGAAUUCUGAGAAAGCUGACGAGCUUCACCAACAGACCAUGGCCCAUUGAAAUGUCCUUCCACCUCCAUUCCUAACUGCUGUUUCAGUGCCAAAGAUAAUUGUUGUGCCUGCAACCGUUCUUCCUGAAAAUGAAACUGGUUGGAAGGGAGUACAUUUCCAUGUUUUUCCUGUAAUAGGUCUAAGAAAUCAGCCUGUGGUUCUUGAAGAGAAUUCAAUCCAACCUUAGCUCGGAUUAUUUGCUCCAGUGAUGGAUCAAGGUGUCUAGAAGGAUGAGAACUCUGUUGCAGUUCUGGCAGCUGCAUUCUGAACUGAACUUGAUCAAGCAAGUUCUCCAUCAGAGGAUCCACUUUUGACCGUCUAUAACCAAGAUCAGACAUCUGAUGCUGCAGCAUACGCUCAAGAACCAACUGCUGUUGUUGUUUUUCUUGCUGCUGUAGCAGCAACUCCAUUUGCUGGUGACGAAGUUGCUGCUGGAGUAACUGCUGCUGCUUUUGAAGUUCCAGUUGCCACUGCCGCUGUUGAAACUCCAACUGCCGCUGCUGCUGUUGAAACUCUAAUUGACGCUGCUGUUGAAACUCUAAUUGACGCUGCUGCUGAAGCUCCAACUGCCGCUGCCUCUGAAUCUCCAACUGCCGUUGCAGCUGGAGCUCCAAUUGUCGUUGCCGCUGCUGAAUCUCCAACUGCCGUUGCUGCUGCUGAACCUCCAAGUGCCACUGCUGUUGUUGAAGCUCCAAUCUCUGUUGUUGUUGAAGCUCUAAUUGCUGCUGUUGUUGAAACUGCAGUUUCAAAAAAUUAGAAGGAAUUUCUUCAAUGCCCAAUCUGGUGCCAUGUGAGAGGGAAUGUGUAGAUAAAUUAUUCUGUGGCUGAACUUGUUCUUUUUGCAAAUUCUGUAAAAUAAGGUGCUGCAGGUCAAAAUCACUGAAGUCUUGCUCCCUGUGAGAUAAGUGAACAUCUUUUGAAUCCAUAUGAAUGCUAGGGUUAGUGAGAGUAUUUUUGCUAUAAUCAUCAGACCAUGUCUCCAUAUAAGGAGGUUGAUCAACCACUGCACCAAAAGAGCUCUGAUUGCAGAAAGCAAUAGCUCCUUCUGAGCAAGGAUCUAUAGUUUGACCCUGAUCACCCAUGCCUGAAGAUAUAUUUGAUGAUUGAACACGCCUCAGCUGAGAGUUACCUAUGAGCUCAGACAUCAAUAGGCCAAAUGGAUGCGGAUUCUCAUCCUGAUGAGUUCCUAAGAAUUCACUCGCAAGGGAAGGGUCACUAGAAGGAUUAGAAACCGAAUUUGGAAUGUCUGCAGCAAGCUUCAUCGAAGGGUUACCACUGUUACUUCCAGGCCUUCCAGGAAGAACUUCUUCAUCCCGAGUGACAAAAUGUUCCAAUCUUUGAUCAUCAGAGCACUUCAUCCCAGAGCGAAAACUGUUAUUGUAAACACUUGACUGACCAAUAACAUUCGAGGGAUCCUCAAAUCUAGAUGAAGCUGAUGAAGCCUGUUGUUGGUCUGCUCUAACAGCAGAACUACCUUCAAAGUCAGUAGCAAAAGCAAGAGGUAUACUCUCUUCCAAGCUGCCUCCAACAGUAUCAGAUAACUUACUGGUGCUAGAAACAGAUCCAAGUUUAACUUUUAGAUGUGGCAUAACUUCACCAAGUUCAAGAAAAGGUGAUCCAUCAGGAGCAUCUGACAAGCAAACAGGUAGAUCAGUUCCAAAAUACCCUUGCUCAAACCAUGUGACAAUAUCAAUCCCCAGAUAUGGCCCCUGUAUCACCCCUUGAGGAUCAAGAUAGCACAAAGAUAGCUCCUCAGGAAUGACAACACUUCUCAAUAGGUGUACCUCAUCAUUGCUCUUUAAAGCAAAUUGAUUAUCACUUUGACUUUGCUGUCCAGAUGGAAAAUCAAAUAGAGAACUCGGGUCAUCAGGAAGCUGACUACCAAUUUCAAAAGAAGUAGCUGACUUGAUAUGUUCCGACUCUAGAUGGUUCAUAUUAGCCAAAUCUGCCACUUGCUGGUUAUCAAGAGUUUUCAAUUCCACAAUAUUGUUACUGGGGCCAAUCUCCUGGGAACUACUGGAAUUCUCUUUCUUUGGAACAGCAGGCAUCAAGCCAUCACUCAAAGCUCUACCAAUUGCUGUUCUAAGCUUCUCUUUGCCUUCUUUUGAAGAAUAUACCUCCUCCAUUAUAGAUGUAUCUGACACGUCAGCUCCACUACCAUCAUCAGAAUCAUUAACAGCAAACUUUCUAAAAGAUUCAAAAAUUUCAUCAGUGUUAACUGUAGAACUCAGAUUCCCCUCACUAGUCACUUCAGCAAAGCCUGAAUAAGCAACAAAAUAUAUUUUAGAAAGAAUCUUGCAAGAUUCAAACAAGAUACAAUAUAGAUUACCUCUGAUAUCAUCUUUUGAUCCCUCAUUCCUGUCACGAAGUGAAUUGUGUAACCCUCCACUGCUUUUGUUUUUCCCCAGCCAUAUAUCUCCAAGUACAGCCUCUUCCUCUGCAUCAGGUGCAACAAAAGACAAUGGCUUAAUAGCAACUUCUGUUGUUACUGAGGGUACAUUCUCCAUCCCAUCAGGGAUGGUAUUAAAACUUUGAAGAGUUUGUUGCCUUCGGUAAAUGUCCAGAAAUUUUCCCCUUGGAUAGCAGUAUGAUUGAUUCUUAUCCAAAGGAAUAGAUCCAAUAGCAGAAGCAGAAGGAUGACUUCCAAUUGAUUUGCCCCCAUUACUAUUUGACCUUCCUCUUCCUGCAGCAAAUCGAAUAUUUGAUGCUUCCAUGCGUCCUCUUUCUGGCCCAAAUCCUGGUGCACUUCGCAUUCCACCAGAAUUAACUUCCAUGCGAUGGCGAGGCCUCCACUUCUCUCGAGAGUCAUUCUCUCGCUCCAAAGUUGUGUAGCUUCCAGUAACAAAAGAUUGCUUGUCUGUGUAAGUAUCUUCCUUCUCAACAUCUGUCCUCUUCUCAUUCCAAGAAUCCUUCUCUUUUUCUUCAGGACCCCACCUUGAUGACCAUUUGCUGUCUCUCCAAGAUUCAUGCCCAGAAUUACGGCUAUUACUAUCAUGCCAACGAUCUGAAGAAGACAAUACUCUGCUCUCAGCUAUGUCCCUUGUUGAUAUGGCAUCAGCACGACGAUCUUCUCUCCUACGAUCUCUUCUACCCAGUAAACUUGUCUCUCUCUCCUCUUCACGCCAACAACGGCUGCUUUCUACAUCAGCUGAAAUUUUCCUCCAGUCUUUUUUAUCCUGGCCAUCUAAUUGCCAACUAUCUUUCAAAUUGUUGUCAAGGCAGUUCCCCUGGGACAGAGAAUUAGGUGCACGCAUUUCCUUUCAAUUUUUUAAAAUCCAAGGAAUCAUAAAUGUGAACAAUAGAAUAAAUAUUAACAAUUAAAUGUUGGCAAUCUAGACUAUUUGUAAUUAAACCUGGUCAAUCAUAAGUGAGUCUGUCAAGAGGUCAAAAAGAGUCCAAUACACCGAAAAGACAAAAAAAUCUAGUCACCAAACUAAGGAGUAAGGACUAGUGUCAAGCAAAGAGGCCUAAUUCUUGCUAAUAAAUAAGGUCAUUUCCCAUUAAAGAACUAAGUGGUUGUACUUCUUCCCACCUUCAAUAAGUUUGGGAUUACUCAAAACCAAAAAUCCAUUUUUAACAAUCCCCUUCACUAAAGUUUAUUGUUAUAAAUCAUACAUCUUCAAUCACAUCAAUCUCUAAAUGCUCCACACAUAACAAGCAUAACACAAUUUGUCAGUGGCUACAACUACAACUAGGAUACAUGGUUCUGAAUAUCAACAACAAGAGAUGGUUUCUUUUUUCUUUCCAUUUUGGUGUGGGGAUUGUUUUGGCGGGGCGGGGGUGUGUGGAGAAGGGGGCUUAAAAAGAGGCCAAAAUAAUGCAAAUGCAAUGCUGCAUGAAGAGAAACAGUAGAGCCAACAAACAUGGCAUCAAGAAUCUAAAAUUUUAUGAACACUAACAAACAAAAUCCUACAUAUUCACCAGAAACAUGUUAACAGAUACAGAAAUAAAGAUAUUUACAACAAAUUAGAUAUUUUCAAGUUCAUUAGAAGCAACUGAAAGCAUGAUAAGUUGAUGCACUCUGAAUAAGGACUGUAUAUCAGUCUAACCAUGAGAAUUUGAAUUUAGUGGAGAAAUCAUUGUUUACAAGUAAUCCUCAUUCUCCUCCAAAUAAACUUGAACUUCGUAAUAUAGAAGAGGAAAUUCUUCUCCACACUUAACCCAAAAUACAAAUUAAAAAACCACUAUCUUAAAGAUGAAGUCACAGACAAUAAACUACAUUUUAACUUUGAAGACUAGGGUAUAAAAUUAACACAGACAAAAAAAAAUUAUAAUGAUUAACAAGCAAAGAAAGCCAGUAAAAUGGAGCACCAUCGCAUUACAUAAUCCAACAAAAACUAUAAAAUAAGGGUUAAAAUGAUCAACGUGUAAAAUAUUGAAUAGAAAUAUGUCCACUGAAAACCAGUAAAAAAAUAUAAUAGGACUAACUUGUCGACAAAAAAGUAAAAAGGGACUAGUCAAGAGAUGUGUCCAACUAUGCAAGAGUUUAAUUUUUUACCCCUGAUGCUCCAGCAGUUGGUAUCUUAGCAUCAACAGGUUUAGUAUAAAGCCAUUGUGGAGAAAGAGGUAUGCCGCUAUCUGAAAUUACUUGAUCUUUUGACUCAUCAAGCAAACUCAUCAGUGGCUUGUCCUCACCAAUUCCUCCACCCCAGGCUUCAUCUUUGGCGUUGGAUGUGUGUUCAUCAGGGAACUUGGAUGAGAUGAGAUCGUCAGGCAGAGUAAGCUUCCCGUCAGCCAUUGAAGCAACAGGUCAACAGCAGAAACGAAGUAGAUUGGAGGUGGACACGAACAGAGAGAGAGCGAGAGGGAGAGAGAUUUGAUUGGGGAAGAGGUCGCAGAGAAACAAGAUGGUGCAGAGGUGAUUUGCUAGGGUUUGGGAUUCGCGUAGAGAGAGAGAGGACGCCGAUAGAUUAGGAUCUGAGAAUUGCAGAAAAACUCAGAGAGGGAGAGAGGCAGGAGGGACACAAGAGAGGGCUGUGAGCUUUGGCUGUAUUGAUCACAACAGCCAAAGAGU